rnacentral:lncRNA from 1 species
AUGGCUGAGGUUACAAGUUGUUUUAGCAGAGUAGCACUACUCAUGAUCCUAUAUAUCCUACACAAUUCAUGUGUUGCUGAGAGUACAUUAGUUUUCAUUGUCCUAAGCUUCGGAGCCAUGCCUAAUAGUGUAAUAGAUUCUACACAAGCUUUUCUGGAUGUAUACCAAAAGGGAGAUAUUUGCUUCGCAAUGCUAUAGUUUUCAAAGGUGAUAACUGCAAAAGCACAGAUAUUACUUUUCGAAUUUAUGGAACAUUGAUAGCUUCGUCUGAUUACCGAAUCCUUGGAGGAGGAAGGGGUCCAAAAUGUGACAGUUAAAAAUGCAAUUUUCAAGGGUACUCAAAAUGGUUUGAGGAUUAAGUCUUUGGCAAGGCCAAGCAACGGAUUUGUUCAGGGUGUUCAAUUCCUUGAUGUCGCAAUGUUUAAUGUCCAAAAUCCUAUUGUAAUAGACCAAAACUAUUGCCCACUUUGAGUCGAGUCCUGUCAUUGUGAAACUGUGAAGAACUCAAUCUCUCAACUCUUUUGUUGA